rnacentral:rRNA from 1 species
GACGAACGCUGGCGGCGUGCUUAACACAUGCAAGUCGAACGGUGAAGGGACCGGUUUUUGCUGGUUCUGGAUGAGUGGCGAACGGGUGAGUAACACGUGAGUAACCUGCCCCCUUCUUCUGGAUAACCGCAUGAAAGUGUGGCUAAUACGGGAUAUUCUGCGCCUGCUGCAUGGUGGGUGUGGUAAAGCUAUUGUUUCGGCGGGGGAUGGGCUCGCGGCCUCUCAGCUUGUUGGGGGGGUGAUGGCCUACCAAGGCGGUGACGGGUAGCCGGCCUGAGAGGGUGGACGGUCUCACUGGGACUGAGACACGGCCCAGACUCCUACGGGAGGCAGCAGUGGGGAAUAUUGAACAAUGGGCGAAAGGCUGAUGCAGCGGCGCCGCGUGAGGGAUGGAGCCCUUCGGGUUGUAAACCGCUUUCGCCAGUGAAGCAGGCCUGUCCCUUUUGUGGGUGGGUUGACGGUAGCUGGAUAAGAAGCGCCGGCUAACUACGUG